GAUGGACGCUGGCGGCGUGCCUAAUACAUGCAAGUCGAGCGAACGGACGAGAAGCUUGCUUCUCUGAUGUUAGCGGCGGACGGGUGAGUAACACGUGGAUAACCUACCUAUAAGACUGGGAUAACUUCGGGAAACCGUAGCUAAUACCGGAUAAUAUUUUGAACCGCAUGGUUCAAAAGUGAAAGACGGUCUUGCUGUCACUUAUAGAUGGAUCCGCGCUGCAUUAGCUAGUUGGUAAGGCAACGGCUUACCAAGGCAACGAUGCAUAGCCGACCUGAGAGGGUGAUCGGCCACACUGGAACUGAGACACGGUCCAGACUCCUACGGGAGGCAGCAGUAGGGAAUCUUCCGCAAUGGGCGAAAGCCUGACGGAGCAACGCCGCGUGAGUGAUGAAGGUCUUCGGAUCGUAAAACUCUGUUAUUAGGGAAGAACAUAUGUGUAAGUAACUGUGCACAUCUUGACGGUACCUAAUCAGAAAGCCACGGCUAACUACGUG
rnacentral:rRNA from 1 species